ACUCCUGCGGGAGGCAGCAGUGGGGAAUAUUGGACAAUGGGCGAAAGCCUGAUCCAGCAAUGCCGCGUGAGUGAUGAAGGCCUUAGGGUUGUAAAGCUCUUUUACCCGGGAUGAUAAUGACAGUACCGGGAGAAUAAGCCCCGGCUAACUCCGUGCCAGCAGCCGCGGUAAUACGGAGGGGGCUAGCGUUGUUCGGAAUUACUGGGCGUAAAGCGCGCGUAGGCGGCUUUGUAAGUUAGAGGUGAAAGCCCGGAGCUCAACUUCGGAAUUGCCUUUAAGACUGCAUCGCUAGAAUCGUGGAGAGGUGAGUGGAAUUCCGAGUGUAGAGGUGAAAUUCGUAGAUAUUCGGAAGAACACCAGUGGCGAAGGCGACUCACUGGACACGUAUUGACGCUGAGGUGCGAAAGCGUGGGGAGCAAACAGGAUUAGAAACCCGGGUAGUCC
rnacentral:rRNA from 1 species